rnacentral:rRNA from 1 species
UACGUAGGUGGCAAGCGUUAUCCGGAAUUACUGGGUGUAAAGGGUGCGUAGGCGGGACAAUAAGUCAGAUGUGAAAUACCGAGGCUCAACCUCGGGGCUGCAUUUGAAACUGUAGUUCUUGAGUGCAGGAGAGGUAAGUGGAAUUCCUAGUGUAGCGGUGAAAUGCGUAGAUAUUAGGAGGAACACCAGUGGCGAAGGCGACUUACUGGACUGUAACUGACGCUGAGGCACGAAAGUGUGGGGAGCAAACAGG